rnacentral:lncRNA from 1 species
AAGAAAGGGAUGCACCACAUCGCAGUUAGCCCUCGCCUGGGUACACCACCAGGGUGAUGAUGUUUGCCUGAUUCCCGGCACGACCAAGAUCGAGAAUUUCAACUAGAACAUUGGAGCUCUGUCAGUGAAGCUUACACCGGAAGAGAUGGCCGAGCUUGAAUCGAUUGCUUCUGCAGACAGUGUCAAGGGUGGCAGGUACGAUGGAAGCAUGUCUACAUGGGAAAACUCCGACACUCCACCCCUUUCUUAAUAAAAUUAUGUGUUUUUCUAGUAAGGGAUGUUGCGAAAACUUUAUUGUCUUUUGCAUGCGUAAUUAUAACUAUGAGUGUAACUAUGCGUAAUUACAACAUGUGGCGUCACACAAUCCUCAGCACUUGAAUUGGGGUCUAUCAAGGUAGUGCUUGAGUCUAUGAUGCUCAAGCUCUAUUCAAUAGCACUUAGGCUCGGGUCCGCAAAGAUUGUGCAUCAGUCCUCAAUGCUUGAGGUCGGCUCGUUAGUUAAUAAAACGUUUGUUCUUAUAAAAAUAAUUAUUUUUAAAAAAUCUAUUUUUUUAUAUUAUUUGUUUUCUUUCUUUUUAUUUUCCUUCUUCUCGGCUAGUUGCCAACCAUGGCGCCGAUUGCGCCUGAUAACAAGCACCGGAUGAGCUAGCCCAAGGCCAAGAAGACUUGAGAUUGCUGAUUUGGCAAGCUUGAAGCUGGUCAAGUGCAAGCUCGAGUUUCGCCCCGUGGCUAGUCGCCAACUACCACCGUGGCUAGCGUUCGGUCGAGGAAGAAGAAAAAGAAAAAUAAGUAAAAAUCUGAAUAUUUUGUAAUCUUCUAUAGGGAAAUCAAAUAAGAUUUUUCAUAUUAAACGAUAAAAAAUAUUUUCUAGUUUAUUUUUAAGACUUAACCAAAUAUUGAAAAUGACUUUUUGUAAAAUAUUAUUCAAAUAUGUCAUAUUUUUUGCGAAACAAACGGUACAUAAAUUUAAAUUUGAUAAUUGUCCUUGUUAAUUUGGUACACAUUAUCUGUCUCUUUGUUUUGUUGCUGAACUGAUGCUAAUCUCUAGAUGAAGCUUGACUAGUUUCAAUAGGCGGCUUGACUUUUGCGCUUCCUUUUUUUUAAAACCCAAAACACUCAAAACUUUCGUGAUACACGACUUUCGACAUGCAGAGUUACAAUCACUUCAAAUAAUUUAUCUGAAAAUUGUAUAGUGGGCCAUCCGAGAAAGGUGAGGGCAACUUGUCCCCCUAGAAAUUGUCAUGACGUGGAACUCUUGACAUGAAUUGAAGUGACUUUUGUUAAGAGUUAACUAGUCAAGAUCGGGCCACAUCUGUCCAUUCAUGUCCGCCACAUCCGGCCCCUCCAAUCGGACUCCCCGGCGAAAAGAUUCACGGACACGUGGCUGGAUCUAGAAAGUCACGGGUUUGACUUGUCUUUUGUGUCACUAUCAAGAAUGUGCAUGGUCCGGACGGGCGAUUCCCGACCUAGAAUCGGGAACUGCUUGCUAAGGACCGAUUCCAAAACAUUGAAACGGAGAUCCACCAGUUAGUUGAAUGAAUCCACUUGGGAACCAGAUCGCUGAUUCAGUCCGAUUUCUAGGUGGAUCUAUGGAACCGAUCUUGACGCUAAAUAAUUUUAUUUUCAAUAUAGAACGACUACGUGAUUUCCAUAACAACAGCUGGAGAGGUUGUAGAAGGAUAUCAUGGUAGGCACUUACGAUAAUCGUGAGGAAAUGAUAGCAAUUUUGGUUAAACUUGUUUUCUAUCAUGGCUAUCAUGGGUCGAAUAAAAUUUUGCAAGCAAAUUUCGUGUCCUAGGCAUUUUUUUUCUCUUAGGUGUGAUGCUUUAAAAACCCUCUAUGUGAUGCUUAGGAACCUUUGUUUGUGAUGAAGCCUAAAGAUUUAUUCCUUGUUGUGGACUUGUUGUCCUACAUCAAAAUCUCUCAGUCAAACUUUUUUGCUUUGUUUUGGUAAGUCUGUAUAAGGUAUAUUACAGAAGUUGCAUUACGAGAUAUUUCUUCCUUAUUGUCUUUUUAGUUUAACUAAGGCCAAAUUGUUUUGGCAUUUUUCCAAGCAUUUCAUUAUGGAAUGAUGAUAAGAAGCGAUCUUGACUUAAUGCUUUUAGUUAUUUGAUUUGGAUUUAUUAAUUAGUAAUUUCAUUUUUUAAUAUUAAAAAUUAAUAUAUUAUUUUAAUAUAAUCGGUUCGGUCUAGGUGGGCGGGUAGAUAGAUCCGCUCAUGGAACUGGGAACCAGACUGGUACUCACCGGUUCCCAUAAAUUGGAAUCGAGAACCGGACCGGUUCCCUUAAAAACUACCGGUUCUGGGCGGUCCAAGCGGGUUUCGGUUAUUUUGCACAAAGAAUUAAAAAUUCAAUUUUUUUUAAAAAUAUUUUAAAAAGAAUUAUAAAAAUUUUCAUUAAAUUUGUAUUGCAUAAAAAUGUUUUAACAAUACUUUUUUUUAAAUAAAAAAAUCAUAAAAACGAGCUUUUUAAGGGUUAAUUAUUUUUUUUAUGUUAUUGUUUUUAGUUAUUCAAAGGUAUGUUUACUUCAAAUAAGGGAAGCAUGUGCAUAGUUUAAUUCUUUAUAAAUAUUUAAAUGUUUUUUUAAACUUUUCUUAUUUUAUUUUAUUUUCUAUUUUUAAUUUAAUUUGAAGAUUUAAUCUAAUUAGCAUAUAAUAGAAGUGGAUUUUCCUAAAAUAUUAAGAGGUUUUAGCAAUACGAGUUGGAUCGGGUAUGUGUCGGGUAUAUAUGAAUAUGGAUCAGAAUAAGUUAAAUAGAUCAAAUAUGAGUUCAUUCGUUUUCGACCGGACUCAAAUCCGGCUUGAUCCGGUUUCGACCCAACCCAAAUCCGACUCGAUCCACUCAUUUAACGGGUCUAGAUUGAAUUGACGUAAGCACGUGCGUCUUCGUAGCUACUGCCGCUCCCCUCCUAUAAAUCUCGGCUCGCCCGACAUCUUAGCCAUCGUCACGGUGCAGUGCAGGGAACGAGCGAGCUCGAGCUAGACGACGGCAAUGGCAGCGUCGACGACGACGGUGGGGAGGAUCAAGCUGGGGUCGCAGGGCAUGGAGGUGUCGGCGCAGGGGCUGGGCUGCAUGGGCAUGUCCAUCGGCUACGGCCCUCCCAAGCCCGACCCCGACAUGAUCGCCCUCAUCCACCACGCCGUCGGCUCCGGCGUCACCUUCCUCGACACCUCCGACAUCUACGGCCCCCACACCAACGAAAUCCUCCUCGGAAAGGUCGGUUCUCUCAGUCUCUCUUUUGCCUCCGCAUGAAUCAUACGUGCUUAUAGUGUUACGGAAUUCAGCUUCAUCGAGCAGGAUGCUCCGAUCCUGCGCCUUGGUUUUCUGAUUUCGGGGUUGAUUUUGAGCAGGCACUGAAGGGAGGGGUGAGGCAGAAGGUGGAAUUGGCGACCAAGUUCGGAGUCAGCUUCGCGGACGGGAAGAGGGAGAUCCGGGGCGAUCCGGCGUACGUGAGGGCUGCUUGCGAGGCCAGCUUGAGGCGGCUCCACAUCGAUUGCAUUGACCUCUACUACCAACAUCGCAUCGACACUCGCGUCCCCAUCGAAGUCACUGUAUGGAUCCCACAUCAAACCUUUACCUCUCUCGGGACUUUCUCCGAGUGAUCAGUUGCUAAAUUAGAAUGGUGUUGAUGAUGCAUCAUCAUCAAGAUAUCGUUAAAUGUGACUUGAGUUCAGAUGAUAGCAGAGUUCAAGAUGUGGCACGGUGUUGUUCAAGGGAUUGCGGAAUUUAGUAGUUUAUAUGGCUUGAGUUUUUGUUUUAUGGGUCAACAAGCAUGAAAAUUAUUCGAAAUCCAGGGUUCACCCUGAUUUAUAUCUGAGAAUCACAUUUGAAGUUGUUCCUGGACUUUCUGCGCAGACAUUUGGUUCUUGACUUGUCAUUGUGAAAUAUGACAAGUACUUGGAAUACUUCUUUAAUUUGCCUUCUUCUGUGAUAGAUUAGAGAGAUCCAUUUCCGUUAACGAUACCUUGCCAUUUUCUUGUUGCAUUGAGAUGCAUAAAGAUUGACUAUUUUUUGCUAGGAGCUACCUAAUCAAAUUGUAAUGUUUGAGAAGUCAGGGAACACAAACUAUUCAGGCAUCAGGACACAAGAAAAACUAAUGAUGUUCAAUAACUUCUGGAUCUUAACACGUAAGAUUUUGACGAUUGUUGUUUUGUCAUGUGAAUAUGCACAGGUUGGAGAGCUAAAGAAGCUCGUUGAAGAGGGUAAGAUAAAGUACAUCGGUUUAUCCGAGGCCUCUGCAUCAACAAUCAGAAGAGCACAUGCUGUUCAUCCCAUCACAGCAGUGCAAUUGGAGUGGUCGCUUUGGUCAAGAGAUGUGGAGGCAGAGAUCAUUCCCACGUGCAGGUAGGAUAUCACUGUUUAUUUGUUUAUGCAGUAACAACAUCUUUCUUCUGACUCUGCUCUUCCUUAAAAUGUUGACUAGGGAGCUUGGCAUUGGAAUUGUUGCCUACAGUCCUCUUGGACGAGGAUUCUUUUCUGUUGGCUCCAAGUUGGUGGAGAAUCUCUCUAAGGAUGACUUCAGACAGGUCUGUUUCUGCUGGUUAACAUAAUUAGAUGCUCACAGUUACUGUCAUUCCCAUUGAAGUGCUGGAAACCUGUUCUUAUUCUAUAAAGAAAAAGUUUGUGACACGAAUGCUUCAUAUUCUUAUUCGAUCCAGCACUUGCCAGUCAUCCCACCUCUCGUGAUUCUAGAUAAAUUUAAAAAUCACAAGUAAUGGCUUUAAUGAGCCUGAAAGGGGCAGUUUUCUGGAUUCUCGUGCUUUUGGGAAUGAACAAAUAUAGGUUUAUUUGUAAGUUGCUCCGUUUCCCAGCUUUCCCACCAUUUGCUUAUCACUAUCCUUUCCCCACUUUCCACCCGCCCUUUUUCUCUCAUAUCUCUUCACAAGAUUAGCAAUAUUUGCUCAAAAUAACCGAGACCAGUAUCGGGCCUUGGCCUCCGUCCUUUUUGUUUCUCAUCUUUCUUCACAAGAUAAAUUAUAUCUUGACACAACCAUUUCUUGAGCGAGGACUCCCUAACACCCUUCUUAUGAGAGUGUUGGGAUCAAGUUCCCAUCUGACAUAAAGCCAAUUGUGUAUUACUCCUGGCCAUUAGUGUUUGAGUAGCGAUAGUGCUGGGCAAGUGAAGUAGCUAUUUUUCUUUGUAGCUAAAUGAGCUUUGCGUCUGAUAACAUUCUUCUACACGUCAUCUACCUUUUGUGAUUUUUUUUUCUUAUGUGUGACUAAUGUUACCAUCACACGUACAAAACUUAGAUUGUCUAGUUUGUUUCUGUUUUCACUUCCUACAUCAAACCCAUCAGCCUUGUGUGGUAGUUGCUAGAUCACUUCGCUCGACGUUUCUAGUUCUUAUGAUUUGGGGCUAGGUAUUUUAAUCAUUUCAAGAUAAUCAUAACUGAUCAUGCUUUUCCAGGUACACAACAAUUGUGCACUUCUAAAUGCUUAUUAGGUCAAGUAACAAGGCAAUCUGUUGGCAUGCAAUGCGAUCACUUUUGCACCUUGCUGCUGUAGAAUUUGGCCUUAAAAGGAAAAUGAUAGUUGCUCAUAUGCUUUCUGCUGAGACAUUGCUCUAUGUUAUGCAGAACCAACCAAGGUUCCAGCCAGAGAACUUGGCUCACAACAUGAAGUUAUUUGACCGAGUGAAUGAAAUUGCGCAAAGAAAGGGAUGCACCACAUCGCAGUUAGCCCUUGCCUGGGUACACUACCAGGGUGAUGAUGUUUGCCCGAUUCCCGGCACGACCAAGAUCGAGAAUUUCAACCAGAACAUUGGAGCUCUGUCAGUGAAGCUUACACCGGAAGAGAUGGCUGAGCUCGAAUCAAUUGCUUCUGCAGACAAUGUCAAGGGUGGCAGGUACAAUGGAAACCUCUCUCCAUGGGAAAACUCCGACACUCCACCCCUUUCUUCUUGGAAACCUGCCUAGAAACAUGUCUACUUCUGUUGCUGCGUCUUUGAUAUGCAGAGUUUGUGCAUUUGCCGCUGAAGUAAUUUGAGGCUAUGUUGUGUGGCUGUUAUAAGUACGUGUAAUAAGAGAGUGACUGUUUUCGUUUUGUACAUGUGACAUUCACUAUGAGAAGAUUAUGGAUAUGUUCUAAGCUUACUGGGGAAAGAUCACCCGCUAACACGAGAGCAAGUUUUUUAUGAACCGAGCUUGCCGUGCCGACUUUAUCGGGGUGACUUUUAGAAUAUGAGAAAUUGGGAUUUUGAAGAAUUCAAACUCAGUCAUACAUACUAGAGUGAUGCUUUAUUCUCCUCCAACUAGUCUUGGUCCAGUUUCCAGAGAGAUUAGGUCGAUCCUUGGUCCUAGAAUUUCAGGACUAGCACUGUGCGGGUCGAUUCUUAGUCCUAAGAGUUCUAGGUCGGUCCAAUCCAAACCAACCUUAUAUAUAUAUAUAUAUAUUAUUUAUAAUUUUUUUAUAUAGAGAAAACCUUAAAACAAACGGCGUCAAUAACAUUAAAGAGUUAUUUAGUAAAGAGUUCAAGUAAUUUUACAUUGUUCUUUAAUAUUUUAGAUUUUUAAUGUCUUUUACGAUAUUAAUAGUCAUAAUUUACGAAGGAGGAAAUUGUUUUUGUAAGGAGUCCUCAUGAUAUCUAAAAAGGUAUAAAUGGCAUCAUUCUUUAGUAUUCGUUCUCUUUGGUUUUAUUCGUUCUCUUAAUUAUCAAUUUGCCAAAAUUGAAAGAAGCAAUCGCUCACUUUGGGUCACUCCUGCCGCUCGCCGCUUAAUGCUCGCUUGGCUUGUUGCUCCAUGCUCGAUAUUCGAUAUUUAUUCUGUUCGACGCUCACCCCACUUGACUCUCGUUGCUUGCCUUUUUUAGUUGACCUUGCUCAUCAUCGAAUCCAUUAGGUCAAUAUGGUCCUCAGUUGCUUUUUCAAGGAUUACAAAAAAUGAAAUAAAAAAUUAUUAAUUAGUCCUAAGUUGACCUUGAAACCAGACCGAACCCAUUGGGUCCGUUUGAUCUUCAAUCGCUUUUUUAAGGUGUACAAAAAAUGAAAUAAAAAAUUAUUGGUUGGUCCCGGGUUGACCCUAGAACUGGACCGAACCCAUUGGAUCAGUUCGGUCAUUGGUCCUAAGCUUAAUAGGGUUGGUUCUCGGUCCAAAAAACUGAGGACCAGCAUUGUGUGAGUUGGUCAUAGGGUUAGGGGGUGAACCGGCCCAACCUGGACCAUACUCACUCCUACCUCUAACCAUGAGUUCAAUACUAGCACCAUGUGCAACAUACUCUUAGGACUGGAUGCUACACAUAGAUACAACGCUUCGCUUUGUGUUUGGUUUCGUAGCGAAGUAAAGGAACAGUAAAAUGCUAUUGGAUGUUCUCGCGAAAAUGAAGUUUGGGAUAAAAUGUUGGCGCGGUUGAUAUGAGUGUCGAGGAAAUCGAAGGUUUCUUGUUCAAGUUUAACCACCUACGGUUCAUGAGCUUUUAUGUAGCUCAAUACCUUCGCUCAUGCCUCUGCAUUAUUAUAAAACAGUCGGAGAUAUUGCGCAAGUUUCCUAAAAUUAAAAACAACAAUUCUAUUGUUUUUUAUUUGGAGUUAGAGUGGAGCAAUGUCGUUUUGUUUUGAUUUAGGAAAAUAACGCAAAUAGUCAUUGAACUUUGGUCCAAUGUGUUAUGUUCUUAUUGAACUUUUAAUUUAUUUAGUAUGACUGUCGAACUUUUUAUACAUGUUUAAUUUAGAUCCUAGGCUAGAUAAAUCCAACGAUGCUGUGUUUGGUCGUUCGAACAUCUUUGCUGUAUGGGAUAAUGAAUGGAUGAAAAUCCCAUCUAAUAUUUCUUGACGUCUGGAUAUAGCAUGAUUCAAAAUAAAUCUUUUUUUUUUUAAAUGAGUGUUUGAUUUGUAUAAUUAAAAUUAAAAAUAAACCAUGGAAGUCGUGAAUAGUAUUCAUCCUUUCACAAUCUUCAUCGAUAUUAAACACCCCCGUUCCAUGUGACUUCAAGGACGCUCUCUCCUUCUGCAACGCCCCUUUCGCUGCCCUUGAUCAACUUGAUGGAUUACGCUCGCUCUACCUUUGACUUCGCCACAUUGAGAGGCCCUUGGGUUUGAGUUCUCCGCUGGUCUAGCCAUCUUUACUUCGAAUGCCUUUUCCUGCGAUGAAUCCAUCCCCUUCGACGAGUGCGAAUACUGCGUUGAUUCCCUGUUACCGUGCCCCGACUUGUUCAGUCGCUUCAACAGCUUCCCCCGAGACAGCGUGCGGAUCCGGUUUAUGAGUGGUAGCACCAUCGGUGCUACUCGCUCCGAGUGACGUGGUUGAAGAGCUCUAUCACCUUGGCUGCCGCCUCUUUCGGAUCAUCUUCUUCACAGAGAAGAUGUCCAGCUUUGAUCGGGAUCACAAAGUUCCCUACUAAAAUGGAGUUAAGUGACAUAAGAAAGAGGCAGGGCUGACGAGCUCCGACGCCACUUUUCCGAGGCAGCCAAAGGUGGUAAGCAGCUUGUCACUGGUAGGAGGAACGGUGGCCCUUAGACUUUGCUCAGGUCGUUGUGGCGAGGGCUUCUCUAGGUAUCUUCGCGAUACUCAUGCUCUAAGUUUGUGGUGGUCAUUUUAGUGAGAGAAAUUGAAACAAGAGAGAUGAUGCGGCACCGGUCAAAAGUGAGGAUAAGCCAUCAACAAGCGCAGGAGUGGGGGAAAAACUUGUAUCCCUUAUUUUUUUCAAUUUUCCAAAUUUCACAUAUCCUAUUUGGAUCUAUAUCACUUUCUAGAUGAGAUUUUUUAUCCGGACUAUAUCCAAAUUUCACGUUACUCUAAACACCGGAUAUGAUCAAACUUAUCAUAUCAGAGUUUUAUUCGGCCCAUCAAAGACAGACUUAUGAGAUAGAAUGCAAUGAUAUAAUCUAUGAAUUAGAUUAAACAUUUAUUAAAAGUUUAAGAAUAAUAUUUCACAUUUUGAUUGUUAGGAUGCACGAGUGAGUUAUGUUAAAACAAUCCCACAAUAUAUUGAUAGCUUUGUAAUAAGGCUUUCUCUUGGUGAUGACAUAGAUCCAUAUGGAGAAAUUAAUGGGAGGGUUUAUUUGGCCUAACUAAAUGGGAGGCUAUAUCAAUCGGAGCUUUUUCAUUGUAACAUUCCCUUGUGCUUGGUAUUUGUAUUUUAGUAAAAGGAUUUUGCUAGCAUAAUAAUCUUUGGGUUAUCAUGAGAAUAACAAUUUAUUAUGAUUUACAAAAUUUUAAAAUAGUAAACCUCAAUUCAAUUUUAAACUUUUUUUUUUCUAACUAAUUCAAUCCUAAAUAUUUUGCAUUUGUGACAAUUUAGUCUAUUCGGCCAUUUUUCGCCAAGAGGCAUUGAUGUGAACUUUGGCUGAUCGACCAAUGCUGACAUGGACAAUUUUUUUAAUAAUAUUUUAUUUUUCUUAUUUUUUAUUAAUUUUUUCUUUCUUUUUUUCUUCACUUCCUUCUCCUUCCUCCAGCCAGUCGGCAAGAGGCAAGGUUGGUGAGGGACCUUGCUGGCCUUGAGGAAGCUUGGCCAUGGUUGGGCAACCUUGCUCGUGGCUAGGCGACCUCGCCGAGGCCGCCGAUUGGGCUGGCGAGGGUUGACCCUCGUUGGCCAUAGGUCAGGACAAAGGCUGCUAGUUGGGCUUGCCCUUAUUGAAUCUGGUGAGGGUUGAGUCUCAUUGGCCAUGGGCAAGGUCAAAGGCCGCGACCUCUCGUGGUCUCUGGCGAGGCUUGCCAAAGGUUGAGCAAGGCUUACCCUCAUUGGACUGACGAGGGUUGAGCCUCGUCAGCCAAGAGCGAGAUCGUAACUUGCCCAUGGCCGGUGAGGCUCGCCUAGGCCAAAGACAGGCGGGGCCUUGCCUAACCAUGGCAAGGGUGGCCUCACCAUUGUUGGGUGAGGCUAGCCCUUGCCAGUGGCGUGUGGGGGUAAGCCUUGCCAUUGGUUGGCAAGGCUGACUUCACUGGCUUGAAUAAAAUAAAAUAUUAUUAAAAGAUUAUUCACAUCAAUAUUAGCCGAACGAGUGGUGCUCGUCGGCCAAAAUUGGCCGGAUGAAUUGAAUUAGUAUAAUUGCAAAAUGUUUAGGACUGAAUUGGCUAGAAAAAAAAAAGAUUUUAAGACUAAAUUAGAAAAAUUGCAAUAAGUUUAUGAUUGUUUUGGUAAUUUUUUCGUAUAAUAACCCUAGUAAAGAUGACUCACUUAAUUUGAGCGUCAAUAAAUCAAAGGUCACUUGUUUAGUUCUCACAACUUAUUUGUAAAUCACUUUAGAAGUGCAAAUCCAAUCAAUUUAUGAGCUUGCAAAAUGAGUCUCUAGAUAAACCAACUUUUGUAUUCGUGCUUCAGGAUUAUAAUAAAAUAUUAGAGGUUUUCAUCAGUGUAUCAUGAUAGGCUAGAUAGGGCGUUUUCUUUUGCACUUGUCAUACAUGAUCAUUUUGUAUCCUUUGAACUCAUGUUAUUUGUUGGUACUAGGUUGAGUGGUAAUAUGAUCUCCUACCUUAUACUUAGAUAUUUCAUUUAUUAGGCUUCGCCUCACUCCUUUUUUUCUUUUUUUUUCUUUUUUGUUGUAGGAUGAUUCCCCUAAAGAUGGUGACGGAGGGGCCGAGUUGAUAUCGGAAGCCAUUAAUCCUUGAGUUGGAUGGUAGUUUAGUUAGUAUGGAUGUAAUGGUAUUAGGUGACCCCGAUCUUUCCUAGGACUAUAAAAUUUUUUGUGAUAAUUACUAUCGAUAUUGUAUAAAGCCAAAGACACUUUUUUUUUUAAUAAACUCAUGCAUUUUUCUAGUAAAGGAUGUUGUGAAAACUUUAUUGUCUUUUCCAUGCGUAAUUAUAACUAUGAGUAUAAAUGGAAAUGACAUGUGCCGCAUGUGAUGUUCCAAGGCGUCACAUAAUCCCCAACACUCAAAUUAGGGUCCAUUAAGGCAGUGCUUAAAACUAUGAUGCUCAAGUUCUAUUCGGCAGCACUUAGGCUCGGGUCCAACAAGAUCGUGUGUCAGUCCUCAAUGCUCGGGCUCGGCUCGUUAGUUAAUAAAAUGUUGUUCUUAUAAAAAUAAUUCUUUUUAUUUUCAUUUUAUAUUCAUUUGUUUUCUUUCUUUUUCUUUCUCCUUCUUCUUGGCUGGUUGCCGACCAUGAUGACGAUUGCGCCUGAGAACAAGCGAGAGAUGAGCUAGCCCAAGGCCAAGAAGACUUGAGAUUGCUGAUUUGGCAAGCUUGAAGUUGGUUGAUCAAGUGACGCUAAAGCUCCCUAGCGUUGGGCAACCUCGAGUUUCACCUCAUGGCUAGUCGCCAACUACCACCGUGGCGAGCGAUCGGUUGAGGAAGAAGAAAAAUAAAAAUAAAAUUAAAAGAGAAAAUAACUAAAAAUCUGAAUAUUUUGGCAUUUUCUAUAGGGAAAUCAAAUCGAAAAAAUAUUUUCUAGUUUAUCUUUAGGACUUAACCAAAUAUUGGAAAUAUUAUUCAGAUAUGUCAUAUUUUUUGCGAAACAAACGGUGCGUAAAUAUUUAGAUUUGAUAAUUGUCCAUGUUAAUUAGGUACACAUUAUCUCACUCUUUGUUUCGUUGCCGAACUGAUGCUAAUCUCUAGACGAAGCUUGACUAGUCUCAACUCAAUAGGCGGCUUGACUUUUGCGCUUCCUUUUCUUCUUUUCUUUUUUCUUUUUAACUCAAAACACUCAAAACUUUCCUGGUACACGACUGUCGUCGUGUUACAAUCACUUUCAAUAAUGAUGGCCAUCCGAGCAAGAUGAGGGCGACUGGUCCCCCUAGAAAUUGUCAUGACGUUUGACUUUCAUGAAUUGAAAUGACUUUUCUCUGUCAAGGAGAAAAAUAGUUAACUAGUCAAGAUCGUGCCACAUCUCUCCAUCCAUGUCCUCCACAUCCGGCCCCACCAAUCGGACUCCCCGACAAAAAAAAUCGAGGACACGUGGCUGGAUCUAGAAAGUCACAGGUUCGACUUGUCUACUGUUAUCACUGUCCUUUUGCAAUAAUUUUUUUACACCCGUCUAGCUGUUGUGAGCUCCUCUGACAUACUAAUUGUGUGGAUAUGGUGAACUUGGGACCUUCUAUAAUCUGUCCAUAUUAAAAAUUUAAAAUGGACAAAUUCCGCCUCUCAUUGUGGAAUUCCACCCACAUUUCUCGCAAACUUUCAAACAUUAGUUCCAGGUCGUGCAUUCCAAUUGAGCCUUGUCUGGUCAAAUAUCAAAGUACUCUAGAGAAAAAUUUUAAAAAAAAUUGUAAAAAAGAGAGAGAAGGAAAACGAUUCAGCCUUAUAAUAACUUGCUAGGAACCACGUAGUUAAUUAGAGCAUCAAGAAAUUAGAGGUAGCUUGUGUAGUUCUCGCAAGUUACUUGUAAAUUGCUUUAGAAGUACAAACUUAAUUGAUUUAUGAGCUUGCACCAUAUUUUAUGAGUUUCUGAAUAACCAACUUUUGUAUUCAUGCAACUCACUCCGCUGUGACUGAGUUGGUUCGGACGUUCCCUCCUCUUCCAAUUGGGGGGAGGUUUGAGUCACCACGAUUGCAUUUGCGCAACUUAAGUGCGGCGCCAUGAGAGGUGGGUCCCCGUGCUAGCGUCACCGUGGGUUUACGUCGCCAGCUGCCGGUUGUACGGCGAUUCUCAAGUCAUAAAAAAAAAAGAAAAAAGAAAAUUUGUAUUCAUGCUUGUAGAUUAUAAUAAAAUAAUUGGUUGUGGUGGGCAAUUGAGAGUGACACCGUUUUCGCCUUUUAUUUUUUGUAAUAUGUGAAGUGUUGUUCUGUUUUUUGUUUUCGUCACCCUCCCACUUGUGCUAUAUUUGUUAGGUCUCCUCGCCAGGAGUUCGUCACUUUAUGUUAUUGACCUCUUAAUUAAAUACAACAAUACCUUCAAGGACUGCUCUUCAUAAAGGCGCGGAUUGGACGGCCGGUGACCGAGAUAGCAGCCUCCGCCCCUCCCUCGGUCUUGCCCUUUGCAUAACUUUUAGAAAACAUGCGUGAUUAGAGGAUCAAUAGUGACUUAAUUCUAACCCGUAUCGAUGUUACCCGUUUAGCAUCUCUUAGUAAAUGUAAAUAUUGUACGCGGAUGACAGCAUUUUGAAGAAUUUACAAUUGGUGUUCUUUUAUUAAAUAUGGUUGAUAUCAUGAAAAAUCUUAGAUUGAUACAUUUGCGACAAACUUAUCCCAAACUAUUUUUUUUACACAAAAACCGUAAACUAGUAUAUUUGUAAUUUUACCUAAAACUAUUUUUUUUUAUCGUCAAAAACCUCAAACUGAUAUAUUUGUAGCAAAAUUACUCUUUACUAACUAGUGUUAAAUUAUACUAAUAUGAAUUGGUACAUCUAUGACAAACGAAGGGUAAAAUCCUAAAUUGGUACACUCAUUAACUAUCAUAUGUCAUUUAACUCAGUAAUUUAAUAGUACAAUUUAAGGGAAAUUAACGGAGGGUCAAUUUGUCAUAGGUGUAUCGGUAUGAGAUUUUUGAUAGCAAAUGUAGGAGUUUUACAUGGUAUUAAACUCUAUUGCAUAUGAUCAAAAGUCCUAGUUUCUACUAUUUUUGUCGACACAAUACCUUAAAAAACCUCAAACUUAAGCUCUGAUCCUAAUUCUAUCUUUUGUGUUAUAAGACCUCCAACUUUAGAUCAUGUCCCAAUUCCACCCUAACAUACAUAUUUUAGAAAACCCCAUAUUUUAGUUAUAGUCCCAAUCUUAUCUAAACAUCUGUUAUCUCAUAAAAUCCCUCAAAUUUAGGUCAAGUACCAAUUCCAACCUAAACGUUAUUUUGUCUUAUAAAAAGAAUCCUAGCUUUAGGUCCAAUUUCAUUUUCACUUUUUUUUUUUAUCUCAUAAAAGAUUACCAACUUUUACUUGAGUCCCAAAUCCACUCUCCAUUAACCCUCCAUCAAAAUUGCCCUUAGUGAUUUUGUGCUCGGUUUUUGAUCUCGCGUGCUUGGAAAUAUUUCAUUUCUCUUGAACAACUUGUGCUUGAGGGUUUUCCAUCUCUCGAUGUCAGCAGGAAAUUUUGCACGAAGGGUUAAUGGUGGCAAAUAUGCGACUCAAGUAAAAAUUUAUAGUUUUUUCAUCAGACUAUAAAAAUUUUACGGUAAUAUUGAGAGUGGAUAGGCUUUUCAUAAGACAAGAAAAGGUUUAAGGUAGAAUUAGUAUAUUAUUUAAAAUUGAAUUGUGAAUGGCUAUAAAAUUAGUGAUUUUUUUUAUGAGAUAAAAGGUAAAAUUAGGAGAAAAGCUAAAGUUAGAGAGUUUUUUUUAGGGUAUCAAACCUAUUUUUGUCAAUCAUAUGAUGUCAACAUUAUCUUUGUUUUUGUUUUUCUUUCAAUUGUCCAUUUGGUCGGUUCUUUUCUAUUCUUAUUCUCAAACUUUUGCCUUGACUCAUUACAAGUGUGAGAAUUGAAACCACAUUUGAUACUAUAUUGUCCCCCGGUAGGCAUUCAAAACCCCCAUCUCCCGCUUCUCAUGUAAGUUAUGAAUGGAGCCUUCGUGUCGUGUCCGACACGCUCGAAGAUGCGGUCAAUACGUGUUCGAAAUCCGACACGUGAACAAUUCUUAUUGACACAUUCUAACACACAAGUCCGAGAGAGAGGAUCGUUGAAGAAAACAAUGGCAAGGGAGCGAAGGCAACGGCAAGGCCACGACGGUGAGAGAGGGCUAGAGGAAGAGUAGAGACCGAGAUGACCUAAAGAGAGGAUCGUGACUGCAAUGGAGGGCCGGUGGCGAGACUGCACCUAUGUAGGAGGAAGGGUUGGAGGUGAGGCGGCAAGCGAUUAUGACAAGGCAAUCAAGAGAGAGAAGAGAUUGAGAGGUGGAUGGUCGUGCGAGGAGGAGGGGAAGGCCAGGGCUAGGGUUUUUGAAGGGGGAAAAUCAAAAAAUUAAAAACAUGAUUUUGAUGGGACAUUAGGGUUGUGCAAGGAGGAGGGGAAGGCCAGGGCUAGGGUUUUUGAAGGGGAAAACUCAAAAAAAUUAAAAACAUGAUUUUGAUGGGACAUUGCUGUGAUUUCUCCUUUAUGGAGAGGGGGAGCGUGUCGGGAGGUGGAGGGGGAGGGCAGAUAAAUGAGGGAAAGAUGAGUGAAAUAAGUUUGUUGGGGGCACAAAAGGAGGGGUUGGUAGGACCUGAGCAAGUCCUUAGACUGCUCCGUCUGGUCGGAAAUAGCCCACGGACGUAAAAUGUGGGCAAUGUUAAUCGUGGGAGAUCAGACCACCCUGUGUAAGGAUCUCCUGGCUCAGAUUCCCGCGAUGCCUUUCUCCUAACAUAUUAGGCUGGGUACAGGAAAAUGAUGAGUGAAAUAAGUUUGUUGGGGGGGGGGGGCACAAAAGGAGGGGUUGGUAAGGGUUGGCAUGGACCCCAUGGAUUUUUAUUUUUUUUUAAUCAAAAAAAUAAAUAAGGAAGGCCAGAAAGUGGGGGAAGAAACUAUGGAAAGAGAGUGAAGUAAAUGUGGGGGUGAGGGUUGGGGUGGACCACGGGGGUCUUUUCUUAUCAGAAAAAUAAAUAAGAAAAACUAUAAGGUGAUUUCGGAAAAUGAAAGUGUUGAAUGUUGAAUAAUAAUAAAAUUUGAUAAUUGUAAAAGAUUAUAGAUUUAUUUAAAUAAGUUAAUUCUAAUUUUUCUUAAUCAUUAGUUUUAUCAAUAAUUUUUGUUAGAGUUAGAAAUAUGUUCGUAUGGAUGCUAUAUGGCAUAUGGAAAGGGUGGCCUCACUUCUGGCGUUUCAUGUAUGGAAAGAGUGAUUAUUAAUGGCGCAUUUGGUAACGUUUUUGUUUCGGAGGACAAUUUUUGAAUAGAAAUAGUUUUUUUUUUUGUUCUAGGGAAUAAUUUUUGAGUAUAAGAAUGUGUUUGGUAACUGCAAACAAUUUCUACUCUAAAAAUAGAAACGCGCUUGGUAAACUUGUAUAAUUUCUUUGUUUCUUUUAAUUUUUUAAUAUUUUUAAUAUUUUUUUUCUUUUUUUCUUUUUUCUUUUUCUCUUUGGUCGGUUGCUGGCUAUGGCGAUGUCCGUUGAGCCUUGUCCAGGCAACGCGAGGUUCGCCUCGUGCCGAUUGGGGAGGUCAAGGCCUCUUGGCUUUGUCUGGGCUAAGCGAGGUUGACCUUGCCCAGCCACCGGCGAGACUCGGCCUCGCUGGGCCACCGCUAGGCGACUCUGUCCUGGAGGUGGCUCGGCGAGGUCGAGCCUCAUGCGGCCAUGGCGAGGCUCGGCCUCUCUGGGGGCUAGCGACACUCCGGCGAGGUCGUCGGCUCUCGUCUAGCCAGUUGCCGGUGUCAACUAUGGCUAAGGCUGAUGACNNNNNNNNNNNNNNNNNNNNNNNNNNNNNNNNNNNNNNNNNNNNNNNNNNNNNNNNNNNNNNNNNNNNNNNNNNNNNNNNNNNNNNNNNNNNNNNNNNNNCGUCUGGUCGAAAACAGCCCAUGGACGUAAAAUGUGGGCAAUGUUAAUCGCGGGAGAUCGGACCACCCUGUGUAAGGAUCUCUCGGUUCAGAUUCCCGCGAUGCCCUUCUCCUAACGUAUUAGACUGGGUACAGGAAAAUGACGAGUGAAAUAAGUUUGCUGGGGGCACAAAAGGAGGGGUUGGUAAGGGUUGGCAUGGACCCCAUGGACUUUUAUUUUUUUAUCAGAAAAAUAAAUAAGGAAGGCUAGAAAGUGGGGGAAGAAACUAUGGAAAGAGAGUGAAGUAAAUGUGGGGGUGAGGGUUGGGGUGGACCACGGGGGUCUUUUCUUAUCAGAAAAAUAAAUAAGAAAAACUAUAAGGUGAUUUCGGAAAAUGAAAGUGUUGAAUGUUGAAUAAUAAUAAAAUUUGAUAAUUGUAAAAGAUUAUAGAUUUAUUUAAAUAAGUUAAUUCUAAUUUUUCUUAAUCAUUAGUUUUAUCAAUAAUUUUUGUUAGAGUUAGAAAUAUGUUCGUAUGGAUGCUAUAUGGCAUAUGGAAAGGGUGGCCUCACUUCUGGCGUUUCAUGUAUGGAAAGAGUGAUUAUUAAUGGCGCAUUUGGUAACGUUUUUGUUUCGGAGGACAAUUUUUGAAUAGAAAUAGUUUUUUUUUUUGUUCUAGGGAAUAAUUUUUGAGUAUAAGAAUGUGUUUGGUAACUGCAAACAAUUUCUACUCUAAAAAUAGAAACGCGCUUGGUAAACUUGUAUAAUUUCUUUGUUUCUUUUAAUUUUUUAAUAUUUUUAAUAUUUUUUUUCUUUUUUUCUUUUUUCUUUUUCUCUUUGGUCGGUUGCUGGCUAUGGCGAUGUCCGUUGAGCCUUGUCCAGGCAACGCGAGGUUCGCCUCGUGCCGAUUGGGGAGGUCAAGGCCUCUUGGCUUUGUCUGGGCUAAGCGAGGUUGACCUUGCCCAGCCACCGGCGAGACUCGGCCUCGCUGGGCCACCGCUAGGCGACUCUGUCCUGGAGGUGGCUCGGCGAGGUCGAGCCUCAUGCGGCCAUGGCGAGGCUCGGCCUCUCUGGGGGCUAGCGACACUCCGGCGAGGUCGUCGGCUCUCGUCUAGCCAGUUGCCGGUGUCAACUAUGGCUAAGGCUGAUGACUGGCAAAAGGAAGAAGAAGAAGAAGAAGAAGAAGAAAAGAAAGAGAAAAUAGAAGAAGAAAAAUGAUAAGAAAAAAAAGUGUUUUUCGAAAGUGUUCUCGAGAAUAAGAAAUAAGUUUUUUUUUUUAAUUUCUUAUUUUUGUUCCAAAGUUGCUCUCACAAUAAAAAAAAAAGACCAGAAUAAAAGUAUAAACAAAUGAGUUUCUAUUCUUUUUUGGUUCUCUGGAACAAAAUAAUAAAAAUUUAUAUUCCAGGAAAAAAAAAUAAUUUUAAACGAACACACCCUAAGAUAUCUUUUGUAUUCCGGGGAAGUAGUUCAAUUGACGUGAGCCCGUGCGUCUUCCCUACAUGGGAAGGGUCGUCACUGGGUCUCAUCUGACCUAAGCAAGUGCGUCUUCACAGCUUUUACCGCUCCCCUCCUACACUUCGUAGCUACCGCCACUCCCCUCCUAUAAAUCUCGGCUCGCCCGACGCCUUCGCCAUCGUCUCGGUGCAGUGCAGGGAACGAGCGAGCUCGAGCUAGACGACGGCAAUGGCGGCUUCGACGACGACGGUGAGGAGGAUCAAGCUGGGGUCGCAGGGCCUCGAGGUGUCGGUGCAGGGGCUGGGCUGCAUGGGCAUGUCCGCCUUCUACGGCCCUCCCAAGUCCGACACCGACAUGAUCGCCCUGAUCCACCACGCCGUUGGCUCCGGCGUCACCUUCCUCGACACCUCCGACAUCUACGGCCCCCACACCAACGAAACCCUCCUCGGAAAGGUCGGUUCUCUCUCAGUCUCUGUUUUGCCUCCGCAUGAAUUAUAUGUGCUUAUAGUGUUACGGAAUUUAGCUUCAUCGAGCAGAGUGCUCUGAUCCUGCGCCUUGGUUUUCUGAUUUCGGGGUUGAUUUUGAGCAGGCACUGAAGGGAGGGGUGAGGCAGAAGGUGGAAUUGGCGACCAAGUUCGGAAUCAGCUUCGCGGACGGGAAGAGGGAGGUCCGGGGCGAUCCGGCGUACGUGAGGGCGGCUUGCGAGGCCAGCUUGAAGCGGCUUGACAUCGAUUGCAUCGACCUCUACUACCAACAUCGCAUCGACACUCGCGUCCCCAUCGAAGUCACUGUAUGGAUCCCCCAUCAAACUUUCACCUCGCUUGAGACUUUCUCCGAGCCAUAUGAUUAGUUGCUAAGUUAGAUUGGUGUUGAUGAUGCAUCGUCAUGUUGUUACAAGUUUGUUGAAAUUUGUUAAAUGACACUUAAGUUCGGCUGAUAGCAGAGUUCAAGAUGCGGCACGUUGUUGUUCAAGGGGUUGUGGAAUUUAGUAGUUUAGUGGCUUGAGUUUUCGUUUUGUGGGCAUCUUUUACAAGUUAAGGGUCAACAAGCAUGAAAAUUAUUCAAAAUCUUCCUUUGAGAUGAAAGUGCUCCAGGGUUCAUCCAGAAUUUAUAUACGGGAAUCACAUAUAAAGUUGUUCCUGGACUUUAUGUGGAGACAUUUGAUUCUUGACAUAUUGUGAAAUAUGACAAGUACUUGGAAUACUUCUUUUAUUUGCUCUCUUCUGUGAGAGAUUCAAGAAAUCAACCUCCGUUAACUCAAUACCUUGUGACUUUUUUGUCGCAUUGAGAUGCAUGAUAAUAGAGGGAUCUAGACGCAUAAAAAGCUAAUGACAUGCAUAAUUUUCUGGAUCUUAACAUGUAAGAUCUUGAUGUUGUUGUUCUGUCAUGUGAAUAUGCACAGAUCGGAGAGCUAAAGAAGCUCGUUGAAGAAGGUAAGAUAAAGUACAUCGGUUUAUCCGAGGCCUCUGCAUCAACAAUCAGAAGAGCACAUGCUGUUCAUCCCAUCACAGCAGUGCAAUUGGAGUGGUCGCUUUGGUCAAGAGAUGUGGAGGCAGAGAUCGUUCCAACGUGCAGGUAGGAUAUCACUCUGUUAAUUGUUUAUGCAGCAACAACAGCUUCCUUCUGACUCUGCUUUUCCUUUAAAAUGCUGACUAGGGAGCUUGGCAUUGGAAUUGUUGCCUACAGUCCUUUAGGACGAGGAUUCUUUUCUGUUGGCUCCAAGUUGGUGGAGAAUAUCUCUAAGGAUGACUUCAGACAGGUCUGUUCCUGCUUGUCAACAUAAUUAGAUGUUUACAUUGACUGUCAUUCUUAUUGAAGUGCUGGAAACCUGUUCUUGUGGUAUAAAGAAAAAGUAUCUGGAUGGGAUGAAUAAAACUUGGUGACACGAAUGCUUCGUGUUCUUAUAUGUCUUUAAUCCAGCACUUGCCAGACAUCCCACCUCUCUUGAUUCUAGAUAAAUGUAAAAUCACAAGUAACGGCUUUAAUGAGCCUGAAAGAGGCAGUUUCCUGGAUUCUCGUGCUUUUGGGAAUGAAUACAUAUAGGUUUAUAUGUAAGUUGCUCUGUUUCCCAGCCUUCCCAACAUUUGCUUAUCACUAUCCUUUCCCCACUUUCCACCCACCCUUUUUCUCUCAUCUUUCUUCACAAGAAUAGCGAUAUUUCCUCGAAAUAACUGACGCCAGUAUCGGGCUUUGGCCCUCCGUCCUUUUUCAUUCUCAUCUUUCUUCACAAGAUAAACUAUAUCUUGACACAACCAUUUCUUGAGCGCGGACUCCCGACACCCUUCUUAUGAGAGUUUUGGAUCAAGUUCCCAUCUGACAUAAAGCCAAUUGUGUAUUACUCCCCGCCAUUAGCGUUUGACUAGCGAUAGUGCUGGGCAAGUGAAGUAGCUAUUUUUCUUUGUAGCUAAAAGAGCUCUGCGUCUGAUAACAUUCUUCUACUCAUCAUCUACAUUUCUGAUUUUUUAUUUUAUGUGACUAAUGGUAUCAUCACACGUACAAAACUUAGAUUGUCGAGUUUGUUUCUGUUUUCACAUCCUACAUCAAGCCCAUCAGCCUUGUGUGGUAGUUGCUAGAUCACUUCGCUUGACGUUUCUAAUGCUUAUGAUUUGGGACAUGAUAUUUUAAUCAUUUCAAGAUAAUUUAUAACUGAUCAUGCUUUUUCAGAUACACAACGAUUGCACACUUCUAAAUGCUUAUUAUGUCAAGUAACAAGACAAUCCGAUGGCAUGCAAUGCAACCACUUUUGCACUUGUUGCUGUAGAAUUUAGCCUUAAGAGGAAAAUGAUAAUUUCUCAUAUGCUCUCUGCUGAGACAUUGCUCUAUGUUAUGCAGUAUCUACCAAGGUUCCGGCCAGAGAACUUGGCUCACAACACGAAGUUAUUUGACCGAGUGAAUGAAAUUGCGCAAAGAAAGGGAUGCACCACAUCGCAGUUAGCCCUGGCCUGGGUACACCACCAGGGUGACGACAUUUGCCCGAUUCCCGGCACAACCAAGAUCGAGAAUUUCAACCAGAACAUUGGAGCUCUGUCAGUGAAGCUUACACCGGAAGAGAUGGCCGAGCUUGAAUCGAUUGCUUCUGCGGACAAUGUCAAGGGUGGCAGGUACGAUGGAAGCAUGUCUACAUGGGAAAACUCCGACACUCCACCCCUUUCUUCUUGGAAACCUGCCUAGAAGCGUGUCUGCUUCUGUUGCUGCAUCUUUGAUGUGCAGAGGUUGAGCAUUUGCCGCUGAAGUAAUUUGAGUUUAUGUUGUGUGGCUGUUAUAAGUAUGUGUAAUAAGAGAGUGACUGUUUUCAUUUUGUACAUGUGACAUUCACUAUGAUAAGAUUAUGGAUGUGUACUAACCUUACUGGGGAAAGAUCACUCGAUAAACACGAGAGCGAGUUGAAUACGAACUGAGCCUGCCGUGUCGACUUUAUUGGGGUGACUUUUAGAAUCUGAGAAAUCGGGAUUUUGAAGAAUUCAAACUCAGUCGUACAUACUAGAGUGGUAUUCUCCACCAACCAUGAGUUCAAUCUCUUAAGACUGGAUGCUGCACAUAGAUGCAAAGCUUCGCUUUGUGUUUGGUUUGGUAGCGAAGUUAAGGAACAGUAAAAUGUUACCGGAUGUUCUCGCGAAAACGAAGUUGGGGAUAAAAUGCUGGCGCGGAUGAUAUGAGCGUCGGGGAAAUCGAGGGUUUCUUGUUCAAGUUUCACCACCUACGGUUCAUGAGCUUUUAUGUAGCUCGAUACCUUCGCUCAAUGCCUCUGCAUUAUUAUAAAACAGUCGGAGAUAUUGCGCAAGUUUCCUAAAAUUAAAAACGACACUUCUAUUGUUUUUUAUUUGGAGUUAGAGUGGUGCAAUGUUGUUUUGUUUUGGUUUAGGAAAAUAACGCAAAUAGUCACUACACUUUGGUCCAAUGUGUUAUGUUCUUACUGAAUUUUUAACUUGUUUAAUAUGGUUGUCGAGCUUUUUGUAUAUGUUUAAUUUAAAUCCUAGGCUAGAUAAAUCCAAUGAUGCCGUGUUUGGUCGGUUCGAAGAUCGUUGCUAUAUGGGAUAAUGAUAGGAUAAAAAUCCCAUCUAAUAUUUCUUGACGUCUGGAUAUAACAUGAUUCAAAUAAUUUUUUUUUUAAACGAGUGUUUGAUUUGUAUAAUUAAAAUUAAAAAUAAACCAUGGAAGUCGUGAAUACUAUUCAUCCUUUCACAAUCUUCAUCCAUAUCAAGCACCCCCGUUCCAUGUGACUUCAAGGACGCUCGCUCCUUCUGCAACACCCCUUUCGCUGCCCUUGAUCAACUUGAUGGAUUACGCUCGCUCUGCCUUUUGACUUCGCCACAUUGAGAGGCCCUUGGGUUUGAGUUCUCCGCUGGUCUAGCCAUCUUUAUUUUCAACGCCUUUUCCUGCGAUGAAUCCAUCCCCCUCGACGAGUGUGAAUGCCGCGUUGAUUCCCUGUUACCGUGCUCCGACUUGUUCAGUCGCUUCAACAGCUUCCCCCGAGACAGCGUGCGGAUCCGGUUUAUGAGUGGUAGCAGCAUCGGUACUACUCGCUCCGAGUGACGUGGUUGAGGAGCUCUAUCACCUUGGCUGCCGCCUCUUUCGGAUCAUCUUCUUCACAGAGGAGGUGUCCAGCUUUGAUCGGGAUCACAAAUUUCCCUACUAAAAUGAAGUUGAGUGACACAAGAAAGAGGCAGGGCUGACGAGCUCCGCGAUACUCAUGCUCAUGCUCUAAUUUUGUGGUGGUCAUUUUAGCGAGACAAAUUGGAACAAGAGAGAGAUGAUGGUGGCACUGGUCAAAAGCGAGGAUAAGCUAUAAAAAGCGCCCCGCCGCCCGGGGGGGGGGGGGGGGGGGGGGGGGGGGUCAGUUUUUCAAAUUUCACAUAUUUUAUCUGGAUUUAUAUCACUUUCUAGAUGUGAUUUUUUAUCCGUGCUAUAUCCUAAUUUCACAUUACUCUAGACACCAUAUAGGAUUAAACUUAUCAUAUUAGAGUUUUAUCCAGCCCUUCAAAUGCAGUCUUAUGAGAUAGAAUGCAAUGAUAUAAUCUGUGAACUAAAUUUAAACAUUUAUUAAAAGUUUACGAACGGAAUUUCACAUUUUGAUUGUUAAGAUGCAUGAGUGAGUUAUGUUAAAAUAAUCACACAAUAUAUUGAUAGCUUUAAAAAUGGGCUUUCUCUUGGUGAUGACGUUGAUCCAUAUAGAGAAAUUAAUGAGAGGGUUUAUUUGGCCUAACUAAAUGGGAGGCUAUAUCAAUGGGAGGUUUUUCAUUGUAACAUUCCCUUGUGCUUGGAAUUUGUUUUUUAGUAAAGGAUUUUAUUAGCGUAAUAAUAGUCUUUGGGUUAUUAUGUGAAUAACAAUUUAUUGUGAGUCACAAAUUUUUUAAAGUAAUGAACCCCAUAAUAAUUUCAAUUAUUUGUUACUUGAUUUUUUGUAGUUUAGAAUAAAAAUUAUCACCAAGUUAUUUCUUUUUAACAAAUAUAUUGCUCUAACUGUUGUUUUCAAUUAAGUUUGCAUCGGAGAAGAGAUUAUUUUGUUUUGCUACGCUUGUCGGAUAUUGCACAGGAUAUUGUCAUUUUCUUAGCACUAGCAACGUUGCGUUCAGACAAGGCGGCAUGGAAUUAUUUGCUCAGCUGCACAUCACACGACCAUACAUUCAUGGACUGUUCCUCAGGAAAGCAUAUAGACAUGUGGCAGAUGCAGAACAUUUCACGAGAUUAAAAAAAAGAAAAUAAUUUUUAAAAAACAAUACUUUCGACUUCAAAACGUGCCAAUCGAACGCCUGCUACUCCCGCCUAUAAAGCUCGGCUCACCCAACGGCUUCGUUGUCGUCUCGAACUGUCCAUUCUCCAUUCUCUGUUCUUGCAUCGACCUCGAGCUAGACGAUGGUGGCAAUGGCGUCGUCAGACGGUGAGGAGGAUCAAGUUGGGGUCGUAGGGUCUCAAGGUCUCGGCGCAGGGGCUGGGCUUGCAUGGGCAUGUUGGAAGAUAUGCGGAUUGCCUGAUUUGAUUUGAUCUUAAUUGAUCAUGAUUAAUCACGAUCUUCAUGUAUAUGUAAAUUAAAAAUUAGAUCUAGAUCUCGAUUGAUAAUCCAGAUCAUUUACUUCCUUAUUCAAGAUAGAGCUUGUAUUAUAUCUCUGCAAAAUUGUACAUUCAGAUUGUAAUAGUGAUAAUACAGAAAAAUCUCCCCACAUCGAUUCCCAUUUUCCUCUCCAAACUUCAUCCGUUCUUCCUUCACUCUUGCCUUCUUUCAUGGUAUCAGAGCAGCUUUGAUCUCUGACUCGCUUCCGUUCCAAACCACUGCUGAAGAAAAUUCUCAACCUGCAAAAGGGUUGAUCUUUCGGCAUUAGGCAUACUCUCGAAGGAAGAAAUUUAAAUUAUCUUACUAUGGCCUCUCCGCAGGACUCCAGUCUGGCUGCUGACGACAGGACCACCGAAGAAAGUAGUCCUCAAGCUCCACAGAUCCAGAAUCUCCCUGCAGUAAUACCAGUAUCCACCCAACCCCAGCAGUGGCGGCCCACGCAGGCUCAGUUUCAAUUGGGGCAACCCACGACGGGUCAACCAUACUAGUGGAUCCCCUAUCCACUCUAUUUUGGGCCAAGCCCAAAUUUCUCAUCGCCUUUUUUCGUGGGCCACCAGAAUCACAAUGGAGGCCCGCCAGCCACGAAUGGGGCAAGCCCAUCCAUCGCGAGAGAGCAGACGGGCGGUUCAAGCGAAUCGGGUACGGGGCAUAAUCCCUACCCGGGACAUGUCAAUGCGGGGUAUCUAGUUGGAUUGAGCGAAUCGGGUCAAGGGACGAAUCCCUACCCGAAUUUCGCACCGGGUUUUCUGUCCAUUCCAGCGGCGGCGUUCACUGGGCGACUAGAAAUAGGCGAUCCUCUGUUUGUCUCCACCGCUGACGGAUCGGAGCUUUGACUGAUAAACCAGCAACUAACCGGACUAGAGACCUAUUCGAAGUGGUCACAGGAGCUCCGGCGGGCAUUGGUGACAAAAGACAAAGACGGAUUUCUCGAUGGGACAAUUUCCAUCCCCUCCGAUGAACGCCUAGCCGGACACUGGCGGAAAUGCAAUCAACUCGUCCGAAUGUGGAUCAGAAAUUGCAUAUCCCCAGAAGUCAUGGCUGGGCUUCCACCCACAGAGGAUGCCAAAACCAUGUGGGAAAACAUUCGAGAAAUAUACGGUAAAAUGGAUCAAGCAAAAGUUUUUAAUCUUAUGCAGGAAAUUAGCGAACUCAAACAGGGAAAUUCGACGGUCACGGCCUGCUUCAACAGGCUAUCGUCCCUCCUGAAUCAACUCGAAGCAGUAGAAGAAAAGCUCGAAGGGCCAGAAUCUACCCUCAAGCAGUACAAACAAAUCAAAGAGAGAGAAAAAGCCACGCGAUUCUUGCUGAUUUUAAACGAAUCGUACCUCACGUUUCGGUCACAGAUCCUUGUCAUGGAUCCCAUGCCACCGAUCGGACGUAUUUACAAACUGGCGAUGCAGGAGGAGAGUCAGCGACUCACAAUCACGAACAACGGUGAGAGCAUCGCUCUGGCUGCCCGCGGAGAGGGGAGAACCCUAACCCUAGCUCGUGAAAAUGAAAAGAAAAGCCCUUUAGGGUUCGACGAGCUCGAUUCGCGCGGGCUUAAAAGGGAUGGGAUGAACGGCCAGGAUUACAUGCAAGGAUCGAGCGGCUUAGAUUACUCCCGAAAAUAUGACGGCCCAGAUUACGCAUGGAGAUCCGACGGUCGUCAAGGAAUCGAAAUUGCGCCUGGAUUGGACGGUGGACAGCAGAUCGCGAUCAAAGGAACGGACGGCCAGAUCUUCACCACGUCAUCAAAGAAUUUCGCAAAUUUUUUUAAAGGAAAGGGGUAAAUUUUUUUGCGAUUAUUGCAAACGUACUAAUCAUACCAUUGACAGUUGCUGGAAAUUACACGGGAAGCCGGGAGAAAAGGAGAAAAAAAUUUCCACAGCUUAUCAAGUCACUGGACCAGCUGGUCCAAAAAUUGACCAGCCAAUCUCAUAUGGUCAAUAUCAGCAACUCAUGCAAAAACUACAGAAGAUGGAAAUUUCCAACAAAGGGGGCAAUUUCUCAGGUAUUUCACAUUGCCUAAUUAAUUCCAUUUCCAGGAAGGCGUGGAUUAUAAUUCUGGGGCAAGUGACCAUAUUAUACGCGACAAGGGAUUUUUUUUUCAAAUAUAAAUGAAAGUUUGAAUUUUCCUGUCUCCGUACAAUUACCCAACGGAAAUGUUACUCAUGUCAAAGUGAUAGGAACAGUGAAUCUCAGUCCUCAGAUUAUUCUCUAGAAUGUGCUAUAUGUCCCAGAAUUCCAAUUCAACCUCAUAUCUGUGUCUCAAGUCUGCAAAGAGAACUCAUGCCGGGUAAUAUUCAAUGCUGACACAUGUUUAUUUCAGGCCCUUUCGACUGGAAGACAGAUGGACUUGGGUAAUCUUUCUGAAGGACUCUAUUUCUGGACGAGUUUUCCAAGUAAUUUCAAUUUUCCAUGCAAUUCCUUGAAUAAAAAAUCAUUGUGUAAUUCAACUGCCAAUGAUAGAAAUUUGACUAUGCAUAUGAGAUUGGGUCACAGUGCUUCAUUUUCAUAUCAUGAAUGUCUUAUAUGUCCCCUUGCAAAGCAAUCUCGCACACCAUUUUCUUCUAGUACUUCACGGACUAGUCAAAUAUUUGCAUUACUUCACGUGGACAUUUGGGGACCUUAUCAUACAGUCAAUCAUGAUGGCUCCCGUUAUUUUCUUACGAUAGUAGAUGACUAUUCUCGGGCAACAUGGAUCUUCCUAAUACAAUAAAAAAAUUAGGUCUAUUCUCACCUGAAAAAUUUCAUUAUGCUAUCUAAGAACCAAUUCAGGAAAUCCAUUCAGCGGAUUCGCACAGAUAACGGGAGAGAAUUCUUCAGUCAUGAAUGCUCCCAGUUAUUCAAUUCUCAUGGUAUUCGACACGAAAGUUCCUGCAUUUACUCACCACAACAAAAUGGAGUGGUUGAAAGAAAGCAUCGCCAUCUACUGGAAGUGGCUCGUGCCUUGAAAUUUCAAGCAUCAAUUCCAGAAAGAUAUUGGGGUGACUGUGUCACCAUAGCAGCUUAUCUUAUUAAUAGAAUGCCUACUCGGAUUCUUAAUGGACAGAUGCCAUUCGAGCUGUUAUUUGGGAAGAAACCGGACUUGAAUCAUCUCAAGAUCUUCGGAUGUCUCUGCUAUGCUGCAAUCAUGGGGCCUCGAGAUAAAAUGAGCCCAUGUGCGCGGCGAUGCGUCUUUAUGGGAUAUCCCAAUCUCCAGAAGGGGUAUCGGGUGCUUGAGAUUUCCACAGGAGAAUUCAUAGUAAGUCAUGAUGUCAUUUUCCAUGAAACUACUUUUCCAUUUUAUGAAGGGGAAUCUUCACAUGGAGAUCCAAAGAUAACUUCCAGCCAUCAUAAUUUUCUCAAUGAUGAAGCACCAUACCGGGAUCUUUCCUAUGUACCAAUAGUACAGCCGAGGGAUCCUAUUCUUCCUACAGUCCCAGUUCUACAAGAUUCUAAUGGAAAUUCGAAUUCUUCAGAACAUAUUCAGGGAGAUAUCUUGGAGGAACCCAUUGCUGAUGCAGAAGUUGAUGACACUACAACAACUUCAUUACCAGCAACAUCACAGCCCACCACCGAAGCUGGACAUCCUAGGAGGUCUGAACGAGCUACAAGACCACCAACCCGGACGAAAGAUUAUGUCUGUACUACUCACAACUCUCCAAGUAUUCAGUAUCCAGUCUCUUCAUAUGUUUCCUUUGAUAGAUUGUCUCAAGAACAUAGAUGUUGUAUUAGUCGAUUGUUUGAAGAGAAAGAACCGUCCAGUUAUAAAGAAGCCUCCAAUAACCCAAAAUGGCAAGAGACCAUGAAGGCAGAAUUGAAGGCCCUUACUGAUAAUCAUACAUGGGAUCUUGUUCCAUUACCAGCUCAUCGUAAACCAAUUGGAUGCAAAUGGGUUUACAAAAUCAAGUAUCGGGCUGAUGGCUCCAUUGAACGGUACAAGGCAAGAUUGGUAGCUAAGGGGUUCACCCAAAGAGAAGGUUUUGACUACCACGAGACGUUCUCACCAGUUGCCAAAGAUGUUACAGUCCGUUCAUUCUUAGCUGUUGCUGCCAUCAAUGACUGGCACCUACACCAGAUGGAUGUCCAUAAUGCUUUUCUCCAUGGCAAUCUAGAUGAAGAGAUCUACAUGAAUAUUCCUCAAGGCAUACAGAGACAGGGGGAUAAUAAGGUGUGUCGUCUCCGUAAAUCCCUUUAUGGAUUAAAACAGGCAUCCGGACAAUGGUAUGCUAAAUUUGCCAGUGCUCUUACAACAGCAGGCUUCAAGCAAUCCAAGCAUGAUUAUGCUCUGUUCUAAAAAACUAAAGGUAUGUCAUCUAUCUAUUUGAUGAUUUAUGUCGAUGACAUACUUGUUAUGGGAAAUGAUAGAGCCUCUAUAGAGAAUUUCAAGGAAUAUUUGCAUGCUACCUUCCAUAUUAAAGACUUAGGAGCACCAAAAUAUUUCCUUGGAAUCGAAGUUGCUCGAUCUGACAAGGGAAUUUCCCUUAGUCAGCGGAAGUUCAUUCUAGAAAUCAUAUCAGAAGUAGGUCUAUUAGGAUGCAAGCUAGCUGUAAUUCCUAUAGAGCAAAACACUAAGUUGACCAUCGCAGACUAUGAUAAGGGAAUAUUUCGAAAUGAUGAUUCCUUACUCAGUGAUCCGUCAGGCUAUCAAAGACUUGUUGGGAAACUUAUAUACCUGACAAUGACUAGACCUGAUAUCUUAUAUGCGGUUCAGACACUUAGCCAGUUUAUGCAUCAACCAAAGCGUUCUCAUUUGGAUGCAGCCUUAAAGGUCGUUAAAUAUCUCAAGAAAUGUCCGGGGCUAGGGAUACUUCUCUCUAAGGAAUGUGACAUGAGGAUGACAGCAUAUUGUGAUGCAGACUAUGCAACAUGUCCGAUUAGUCGAAGAUCUGUUACUGGAUAUUGCAUUAAAUUGGGAGGAUCUCUUCUAUCUUGGAAAACCAAGAAACAAGCUACUGUGUCUCUGUCCUCAGCCGAAGCAGAAUAUCGAGCUGUGGCCAAGGCCACUUGUCAAGUAGUUUGGAUGCGAGGAUUACUCAAGGAUCUUGGAGUAGAAGUGCAAGGACCCACAAGGUUAUAUUGUGAUAAUGAUACAGCUCUUAAACUUGCAACUAAUCCUAUAGUACAUGAAAGAACCAAGCAUAUAGAAGUGGAUUGUCACUUCACACGGGAAAAGAUCCAGGAAGGAGUAAUUGAGACGAGGAAUUUGGACAACGGAGCAACCAGUAGACUUGUUCACCAAGCCCCUAUGUCAGAGGCAACAUGCAUAUCUAUUAAAAAAGCUAGGCGUCUUGGACAUCUACAAGCCACCAGCUUGAGGGGGAGUGUUGGAAGAUAUGUGGAUUGCCUGAUUUGAUUUGAUCUUAAUUGAUCAUGAUUAAUCACGAUCUUCAUGUAUAUGUAAAUUAAAAAUUAGAUCUAGAUCUAGAUUGAUAGUCUAGAUCAUUUACUUCCUUAUUCAAGAUAGAGCUUGUAUUAUAUCUCUGCAGAAUUGUACAUUCAGAUUGUAAUAGUGAUAAUACAGAAAAAUCUCCCCACAUCGAUUCCCAUUUUCCUCUCUAAACUUCAUCCGUUCUUCCUUCACUCUUGCCUUCUUUCAGGGCAUAUCUACUUUGCCGGCCCUCCCAAGCCCAACCCCGACACGAUCGAGCUUGUCCACCACGCCGUUGAAUCUGGCGUUGCCUUCCUCGACACCUCCGACAUCUAUGGCCUUAACGCCAAGGAAGUCCUCCUUGGAAAGGUCGGUAUUUAUUUUGUAGAUAUAAUUGAAGAUCUUGAUCGUGACGCCAAUCCUAAUUGCGGACUAAUUGAUUUGGUCAAUUUGUGAUUGUUUAGUGAAUAUGGAAAUUUUUGUAAUUCUUUAUAUAUUAUUUCAUUUUUUCUCUUUCAUUCUUACACUAUAAAUAGACCAAUGAACUAAUAUACAGAUCAAUCAAUAUACAACAAAAUUUUCUUCAUUUUCUCUUUUGUUUUCUAUUAUGUUAUCAGUGUCAUUCUUCCUCGCCUAGCUUCCCAUAUCUUAGAGUUGCCUUUCUUUUUUUCUUUGUUUUUUUUUUUUUUUUGGUUAUUGCAAGUCCUCAUCCUGCAAUACAAAUCAGCAAAUCGAUUAGGAAUUCAAUUUUUUUUUUCAAUACCAAGGCAAAAAAUAAGAACACUGAGAGCUCCAUGAUAGAGGAGACACCUACCUCACCUCAAAAUCAAGCCCCAUCGCCGUCGGAUUCGAUUAUGAUUUGGGACAAUAUAUUUUAAUCAUUUCGAGAUAAUCUUUAACUGAUCAUGCUCUUCCAGAUACACAGCAAUUGCGCACUUCCAAAUGCUUAUUAUGUCAAGUAACAUGACAAUCUGAUGGCAUGCAACGCAACCAAUUUUGCACUCGUUGAUGUAGAAUUUGGCGUUAAAAGGAAAAUGAUGGUUGCUCGUAUGCUCUCUGCUUAGACAUUGCUUUAUGUUAUGAAGUACCUACCAAGGCUGCGGCCAGAGAACUUGGCUAAUGCAAAGUUAUUCGACCAAGUGAAUGAAAUUGCACAAAGAAAGGGAUGCACCCCAUUGCAGUUAACCCUCGCCUGGGUACACCACUGGAGUGAUGACGUUUGCCCGAUUACCGGCACGAUCAAGAUCGAGAAUUUCAACCAGAACAUUGGAGCUCUGUCAGUGAAGCUUUCGCCAGAAGAGAUGGCCAAGCUCAAAUCGAUUGCUUAUACGGACAAUGUCAGGCGUGAGAAUUAAAACCACAUUUGAUACUAAAUUAUGCCUAGGUAGGAAUUCAAAACUCCACCUCCCGCUUUUCAUGUGGGAAGGUUGGCCCCACCUCGCGCUUAUGGAAAGAGUAAUCACGAAGACAUCACAAUAGUUCAAUUGACGUGAGCAGGUACGUCUUCCCUACAUGGUAAGGGUCGUCACUGGGCGUGCAAUUGACGUAAGCACGUGCGUCUUCACAGCCACUACCGCUCCCCUCCUACUCAUCGUAGCUUCUGCCACUACCCUCCUAUAAAUCUCGGCUCGCCCGACGACUUCGCCAUCGUCUCGGUGCAGUGCAGGGAACGAUCGAGCUCGAGCUAGACUACGGCAAUGGCGGCAUCGACGACGACGGUGAGGAGGAUCAAGCUGGGGUCGCAGGGCCUGGAGGUGUCGGCGCAGGGGCUGGGCUGCAUGAGCAUGUCCGCCUUCUACGGCCCUCCCAAGUCCGAGCCCGACAUGAUCGCCCUCAUCCACCACGCCGUCGGCUCCGGCGUCACCUUCCUCGACACCUCCGACUUCUACGGUCCUCACACCAACGAAAUCCUCCUCGGAAAGGUCGUUCUCUCAGUCUCUCUUUUGCCUCUGCAUGAAUUAUAUAUGCUUAUGGUUUUACGGAACUUAGCUUCAUCGAGCAGGAUGCUCUGAUCCUGCGCCUUGGUUUUCUGAUUUCGGGGUUGAUUUUGAGCAGGCACUGAAGGGAGGGGUGAGGCAGAAGGUGGAAUUGGCGACCAAGUUCGGAAUCAGAUUGGCGGACGGGAAGAGGGAGAUCCAGGGCGAUCCGGCGUACGUGAGGGCUGCUUGCGAGGCCAGCUUGAAGCGGCUCGACAUCGAUUGCAUCGACCUCUACUACCAGCACCGUAUCGACACUCGCGUCCCCAUUGAAGUCACUGUAUGGAUCCCUUAUCAAACUUUCACCUCGCUUGAGACUUUCUCUGAGCCAUACGAUGCAUCGUCAUGUUGUUACAAGUUUGUUGAAUUUUGUUAAAUGACACUUAAGUUCAGCUGAUAGCAGAGUUCAAGAUGCGGCACGGUGUUGUUCAAGGGUUGUGGAAUUUAGUAGUUUAGUGGCUUGAGUUUUCGUUUUGUGGGAAUCUUUUACAAGUUAAGGGUCAACAAGCAUGGAAAUUAUUCGAAAUCUUCCUUUGAGAUGAAAGUGCUCCGGGGUUCAUCCUGAAUUUAUAUACGGGAAUCACAUAUAAAGUUGUUCCUGGACUUUAUACGGAGACAUUUGAUUCUUGACAUAUUGUGAAAUAUGACAAGUACUUGGAAUACUUCUUUUAUUUGCUCUCUUCUGUGAGAGAUUCAAGAAAUCUACCUCCGUUAACUCAAUUCCUUGUGGGUUUUUUGUCGCAUUGAGAUGCAUGAUAAUUGAGGGAUCUAGACACAAAAAGCUAAUGACAAAAAUAAUUUUCUGGAUCUUAACAUGUAAGAUCUUGAUGUUGUUGUUCUGUCAUGUGAAUAUGCACAGAUCGGAGAGCUAAAGAAGCUCGUUGAAGAGGGUAAGAUAAAGUACAUCGGUUUAUCCGAGGCCUCUGCAUCAACAAUCAGAAGAGCACAUGCUGUUCAUCCCAUCACAGCAGUGCAAUUGGAGUGGUCGCUUUGGUCCAGAGAUGUGGAGGCGGACAUCGUUCCAACGUGCAGGUAGGAUAUCACUCCGUUAAUUGUUUAUGCAGCAACAACAGCUUCCUUCUGACUCUGCUUUUCCUUUAAAAUGUUGACUAGGGAGCUUGGCAUUGGAAUUGUUGCCUACAGUCCUUUAGGACGAGGAUUCUUUUCUGUUGGCUCCAAGUUGGCGGAGAAUUUCUCAAAGGAUGACUUCAGACAGGUCUGUUUCUGCUGGUCGACAUAAUUAGAUGCUCACAGUGACUGUCAUUCUCAUUGAAGUGCUGGAAACCUGUUCUUGUGGUAUAAAGAAAAGUUUCUGGAUGGGAUGAAUAAAACUUGGUGACACAAAUGCAUCACGUUCUUAUAUGUCUUCAAUCCAGCACUCGCCAGACAUACUACCUCUCUCGAUUCUAGAUAAAUGUAAAAUCACAAGUAAUGGCUUUAGUGAGCCUGAAAGAGGUAGGUUCCCGGAUUCUCAUUCUUUUGGGAAUGAAUACAUAUAGGUUUAUAUGUAAGUUGCUCUGUUUCCCAGCCUUCCCAACAUUUGCUUAUCACUAUCCUUUCCCCACUUUCCACCCACCCUUUUUCUCUCAUCUUUCUUCACAAGAUUAGCGAUAUUUCCUCGAAAUAACUGACGCCAGUAUCGGGCUCUGGCCUUCCGUCCUUUUUCAUUCUCAUCUUUCUUCACAAGAUAAACUAUAUCUUGACACAACCAUUUCUUGAGUGAGGACUCACGACACCCUUCUUAUGAGAGUUUUGGAUCAAGUUCCCAUCUGACAUAAAGCCAAUUGUGUAUUACUCCCUGCCAUUAGCGUUUGACUAGCGAUAGCGCUGGGCAAGUGAAGUAGCUAUUUUUCUUUGUAGCUAAAAGAGCUCUGCGUCUGAUAACAUUCUUCUACACAUCAUCUACAUUUCUGAUUUUUUAUUUUAUGUGUGACUAAUGGUAUCAUCACACGUACAAAACUUAGAUUGUCGAGUUUGUUUCUGUUUUCACAUCCUACAUCAAGCCCAUCAGCCUUGUGUGGUAGUUGCUAGAUCACUUCGCUUGACGUUUCUAAUGCUUAUGAUUUGGGACAUGAUAUUUUAAUCAUUUCAAGAUUAUUUAUAACUGAUCAUGCUUAUCCAGAUAGACAACGAUUGCACACUUCUAAAUGCUUAUUAUGUCAAGUAACAAGACAAUCUGAUGGCAUGCAAUGCAACCACUUUUGCACUUGUUGCUGUAGAAUUUAGCCUUAAAAGGAAAAUGAUAAUUGCAAUUGCUUUCUGCUGAGACAUUGCUCUAUGUUAUGCAGUAUCAUCCAAGGUUCCAGCCAGAGAACUUGGCUCACAACACGAAGUUAUUUGACCGAGUGAAUGAAAUUGCGCAAAGAAAGGGAUGCACCCCAUCUCAGUUAGCCCUGGCCUGGGUACACCACCAUGGUGACGACAUUUGCCCGAUUCCCGGCACAACCAAGAUCGAGAAUUUCAACCAGAACAUUGGAGCUCUGUCAGUGAAGCUUACACAGGAAGAGAUGGCCGAGCUUGAAUUGAUUGCUUCUGCGGACAAUGUCAAGGGUGGCAGGUAUGAUGGAAGCAUAUCUACAUGGGAAAACUCCGACACUCCACCCCUUUCUUCUUGGAAACCUGCCUAGAAGCGUGUCUGCUUCUGUUGCUGCAUCUUUGAUGUGCAGAGUUUGAGCAUUUGCCGCUGAAGUAAUUUGAGUUGAUGUUGUGUGGCUGUUAUAAGUAUGUGUAAUAAGAGAGUGACUGUUUUCAUUUUGUACAUGUGACAUUCACUAUGAGAAGAUUAUGGAUGUGUACUAACCUUACUGGGGAAAGAUCACUCGAUAAACACGAGAGCGAGUUGAAUAUGAACUGAGCCUGCCUUGUCGACUUUAUGGGGUGACUUUUAGAAUCAAUUGGGAUUUUGAAGAAUUCAAACUCAGUCGUACAUACCGCUGGAAAUAUGGCUUCGAAAUUGGGUAGAACAAUGAAAUCGGAUCGAGUAAAAUAACUCGGACUUUGAGGCGCGAUAUCACUUUCUUUAAGGAUUUAUUUACCCCACAACGUUGCUAAUGGUCACCAGCAAAAAUCCUCCAGGAUACAACAAAGUCUCGGAUGAGAAUACUAGAUAGCAAUUCAAGUAUUUCUCCAGGGUCUCUCUAAGAAACAAUCGAAAAAUUGGAUGCUGUUUUUCAGAAAGGAAUACUCGAAAAUGACACUCUUUUUCUUUCCGAAAAUGAUAGAUAUAUAUAUGAAACAGUCUUGCNNNNNNNNNNNNNNNNNNNNNNNNNNNNNNNNNNNNNNNNNNNNNNNNNNNNNNNNNNNNNNNNNNNNNNNNNNNNNNNNNNNNNNNNNNNNNNNNNNNNUUUUUUUUUUUUAUUUCUUAUUUUUGUUCCAAAGUUGCUCUCACAAUAAAAAAAAAAAAGACCAGAAUAAAAGUAUAAACAAAUGAGUUUCUGUUCUUUUUUGGUUCUCUAGAACAAAAUAAUAAAAAUUUAUAUUUCGGGAAAAAAAAUAAUUUUAAAUGAACACACCCUAAGAUAUCUUUUGUAUUCCGGGGAAGUAGUUCAAUUGACGUGAGCCCGUGCGUCUUCCCUACAUGGGAAGGGUCGUCGCUGGGUCUCAUCUGACCUAAGCAAGCGCGUCUUCACAGCUAUUACCGCUCCCCUCCUACACUUCGUAGCUACCGCCACUCCCCUCCUAUAAAUCUCGGCUCGCCCGACGCCUUCGCCAUCGUCUCGGUGCAGUGCAGGGAACGAGCGAGCUCGAGCUAGACGACGGCAAUGGCGGCUUCGACGACGACGGUGAGGAGGAUCAAGCUGGGGUCGCAGGGCCUCGAGGUGUCGGCGCAGGGGCUGGGCUGCAUGAGCAUGUCCGCCUUCUACGGCCCUCCCAAGUCCGAGCCCGACAUGAUCGCCCUCAUCCACCACGCCGUCGGCUCCGGCGUCACCUUCCUCGACACCUCCGACGUCUACGGUCCUCACACCAACGAAAUCCUCCUCGGAAAGGUCGUUCUCUCAGUCUCUGUUUUGCGUCCGCAUGAAUUAUAUGUGCUUAUAGUGUUACGGAAUUUGGCUUCAUCGAGCAGAGUGCUCUGAUCCCGCGCCUUGGUUUUCUGAUUUCGGGGUUGAUUUUGAGCAGGCACUGAAGGGAGGGGUGAGGCAGAAGGUGGAAUUGGCGACCAAGUUCGGAAUCAGCUUCGCGGACGGGAAGAGGGAGGUCCGGGGCGAUCCGGCGUACGUGAGGGCGGCUUGCGAGGCCAGCUUGAAGCGGCUUGACAUCGAUUGCAUCGACCUCUACUACCAACAUCGCAUCGACACUCGCGUCCCCAUCGAAGUCACUGUAUGGAUCCCCCAUCAAACUUUCACCUCGCUUGAGACUUUCUCCGAGCCAUAUGAUUAGUUGCUAAGUUAGAUUGGUGUUGAUGAUGCAUCGUCAUGUUGUUACAAGUUUGUUGAAAUUUGUUAAAUGACACUUAAGUUCGGCUGAUAGCAGAGUUCAAGAUGCGGCACGUUGUUGUUCAAGGGGUUGUGGAAUUUAGUAGUUUAGUGGCUUGAGUUUUCGUUUUGUGGGCAUCUUUUACAAGUUAAGGGUCAACAAGCAUGAAAAUUAUUCAAAAUCUUCCUUUGAGAUGAAAGUGCUCCAGGGUUCAUCCAGAAUUUAUAUACGGGAAUCACAUAUAAAGUUGUUCCUGGACUUUAUGUGGAGACAUUUGAUUCUUAACAUAUUGUGAAAUAUGUCGAGUACUUGGAAUACUUAUUUUAUUUGCUCUCUUCUGUGAGAGAUUCAAGAAAUCUACCUCCGUUAACUCAAUACCUUGUGACUUUUUUGUCGCAUUGAGAUGCAUGAUAAUAGAGGGAUCUAGACGCAUAAAAAGCUAAUGACAUGCAUAAUUUUCUGGAUCUUAACAUGUAAGAUCUUGAUGUUGUUGUUCUGUCAUGUGAAUAUGCACAGAUCGGAGAGCUAAAGAAGCUCGUUGAAGAAGGUAAGAUAAAGUACAUCGGUUUAUCCGAGGCCUCUGCAUCAACAAUCAGAAGAGCACAUGCUGUUCAUCCCAUCACAGCAGUGCAAUUGGAGUGGUCGCUUUGGUCAAGAGAUGUGGAGGCAGAGAUCGUUCCAACGUGCAGGUAGGAUAUCACUCUGUUAAUUGUUUAUGCAGCAACAACAGCUUCCUUCUGACUCUGCUUUUCCUUUAAAAUGCUGACUAGGGAGCUUGGCAUUGGAAUUGUUGCCUACAGUCCUUUAGGACGAGGAUUCUUUUCUGUUGGCUCCAAGUUGGUGGAGAAUAUCUCUAAGGAUGACUUCAGACAGGUCUGUUCCUGCUUGUCAACAUAAUUAGAUGCUUACAUCAACUGUCAUUCUUAUUGAAGUGCUGGAAACCUGUUCUUGUGGUAUAAAGAAAAAGUAUCUGGAUGGGAUGAAUAAAACUUGGUGACACGAAUGCUUUGUGUUCUUAUAUGUCUUUAAUCCAGCACUUGCCAGACAUCCCACCUCUCUUGAUUCUAGAUAAAUGUAAAAUCACAAGUAAUGGCUUUAAUGAGCCUGAAAGAGGCAGUUUUCUGGAUUCUCGUGCUUUUGGGAAUGAAUACAUAUAGGUUUAUUUGUAAGUUGCUCUGUUUCCCAGCCUUCCCACCAUUUGCUAAUCACUAUCCUCUCCCCACUUUCCACCCACCCUUUUUCUCUCAUCUUUCUUCACAAGAUUAGCGAUAUUUCCUCAAAAUAGCUGACGCCAGUAGCGGGCUUUGGCCCUCCGUCCUUUUUCAUUCUCAUCUUUCUUCACAAGAUAAACUAUAUCUUGACACAACCAUUUCUUGAGUAAGGACUCCUAGCACCCUUCUUAUGAGAGUUUUGGAUCAAGUUCCCAUCUGACAUAAAGCCAAUUGAGUAUUACUCCCCGCCAUUAGCAUUUGACUAGCGAUAGUGCUGGGCAAGUGAAGUAGCUAUUUUUCUUUGUAGCUAAAAGAGCUCUGCGUCUGAUAACAUUCUUCUACACAUCAUCUACAUUUCUGAUAUUUAUUUUAUGUGUGACUAAUGGUAUCAUCACACAUACAAAACUUAGAUUGUCGAGUUUGUUUCUGUUUUCACAUCCUACAUCAAACCCAUCAGCCUUGUGUGGUAGUUUCUAGAUCACUUCGCUUGACGUUUCUAAUGCUUAUGAUUUGGGACAAGAUAUUUUAAUCAUGUCAAGAUAAUUUAUAACUGAUCAUGCUUUUCCAGAUACACAACGAUUGCGCACUUCUAAUGCUUAUUAUGUCAAGUAACAAGACAAUCCGAUGGCAUGCAAUGCAACCACUUUUGCACUCGUUGCUGUAGAAUCUAGCCUUAAAAGGAAAAUGAUAAUUGCUCAUAUGCUCUCUGCUGAGACAUUGCUCUAUGUUAUGCAGUAUCUACCAAGGUUCCGGCCAGAGAACUUGGCUCACAACACGAAGUUAUUUGACCGAGUGAAUGAAAUUGCGCAAAGAAAGGGAUGCACCACAUCGCAGUUAGCCCUGGCCUGGGUAUACCACCAGCGUGAUGAUGUUUGCCCAAUUCCCGGCACGACCAAGAUCGAGAAUUUCAACCAGAACACUGGAGCUAUGUCAGUGAAGCUUACACCGGAAGAGAUGGCCGAGCUUGAAUCGAUUGCUUCUGCGGACAAUGUCAAGGGUGGCAGGUACGAUGGAAGCAUGUCUACAUGGGAAAACUCCGACACUCCACCCCUUUCUUCUUGGAAACCUGCCUAGAAGCGUGUCUGCUUCUGUUGCUGCAUCUUUGAUGUGCAGAGUUUGAGCAUUUGCCGCUGAAGUAAUUUGAGUUUAUGUUAUGUGGCUGUUAUAAGUACGUGUAAUAAGAGAGUGACUGUUUUCAUUUUGUACAUGUGAUAUUCACUAUGAGAAGAUUAUGGAUGUGUACUAACCUUACUGGGGAAAGAGCACUCGAUAAACACGAGAGCGAGUUGAAUACGAACUGAGCCCGCCGUGCCGACUUUAUUGGGGUGACUUUUAGAAACU